CGUGCUUAACACAUGCAAGUCGAACGCGAAAGGGACUUCGGUCCUGAGUAAAGUGGCGCACGGGUGAGUAACGCGUGGAUAAUCUGCCCUUAUGAUCGGGAUAACAGUUGAAACGGCUGCUAAUACCGGAUACGCUCAAAAUGAACUUUUUGAGGAAAGAUGGCCUCUGCUUGCAUGCUAUCGCGUAAGGAUGAGUCCGCGUCCCAUUAGCUUGUUGGCGGGUAACGGCCCACCAAGGCAACGAUGGGUAGCCGAUUUGAGAGGAUGAUCGGCCACACUGGAACUGAAACACGGUCCAGACUCCUACGGGAGGCAGCAGUGGGGAAUAUUGCGCAAUGGGCGAAAGCCUGACGCAGCGACGCCGCGUGAGGGAUGAAAGGUUUUCGGAUCGUAAACCUCUGUCAGAAGGGAAGAAACUACAUUGUGCUAAUCAGCAGUGUACUGACGGUACCUUCAAAGGAAGCACCGGCUAACUCCGUGCCAGCAGCAGC
rnacentral:rRNA from 1 species